rnacentral:rRNA from 1 species
UACGUAGGGCGCAAGCGUUAUCCGGAAUUUAUUGGGCGUAAAGAGCUCGUAGGCGGUCUGUCGCGUCUGCUGUGAAAACUCAGGGCUUAACCCUGAGCUUGCAGUGGGUACGGGCAGACUAGAGGUGCGGUAGGGGAGACUGGAAUUCCUGGUGUAGCGGUGGAAUGCGCAGAUAUCAGGAGGAACACCAAUGGCGAAGGCAGAUCUCUGGGCCGUAACUGACGCUGAGGAGCGAAAGCAUGGGGGAGCGAAACAGG